rnacentral:tRNA from 1 species
GGGGUUGUGGCUCAGCGGCAGAGCGCUCACCUAGCACAUGUGAGGCCCUGAGUUCAAUCCUCAGUACCA